UCCUUUGUGGCGCAAUUGGUUAGCGCGUCGUACGUUCCUCCUUCCCACUGCCCUCGUUCGAAUUCCCUCAAUUUGAACCACAUCUAACAAGUUAUGCUGCAGUGACUGUUACCAACAGAUUAUCAGGAGGCUGUAAGAUCGAGACUUACCAAAGGAG
rnacentral:tRNA from 1 species